rnacentral:lncRNA from 1 species
CAAACCUGCAGGACCAGUUCGCAGGGAUGAAAGGGCUCCUGGAGAGGUGGGGAGGGAGGGGAGGGCCAGGGCUGGGGCUCAGGGGAGAACACAGAUGGUCAAGGGGUGAGCGGCAGGGUCCCCCCACCGCAACUGAGCCAGAUGAGCCCCAGAAACCCAGGGGCACUGGGGCGCCAGGCUGGGAGGUCAGAUUCGGCACCCAGACCCCUGGACUGAGCGCUGGAAGUGCAGGAGGGGCCUUGGGGAUUGACGAGUGUGGGGAGAAGGGGAAGUUACAGUUUUACCACUCUUUGAAAAAAAAUUCUGUGCCUAAAGUGAGAUCAGAUUAUAUUCAUUUGUCCUUCUUUUCUUUUUCUUUUUUGAGACAAAAUCUCACUACGUAGCCCAGGCUGGCCUGGAACUCUCAGUGAUUCUCCCACCUCAGCCUCCUGAAUGCUAAGAUGACAGAGGUGGAGGGGGCGGGAAGCUCCCAGUCCCUCUGAAAUCUGGCCUCGGGCGAUAACUGCAUUGCACAAAACACUUCCCCACCUCUGCCUCCUAACUGAGAAAAAGUGGUCAACAGUGAAAGACUCCAGAAACCCACAGAUUUCGAAGUACGAGCGCCCGCGCUGAGAGUUCGCUGUUUUAAUCAAAUAAAACCCACAACAAAGUUAAUCUGACACAUAGUUAAUGAGAUAAUCAUUG